GAUGAACGCUGGCGGCGUGCCUAAUACAUGCAAGUCGAGCGAACAGACGAGGAGCUUGCUCCUCUGACGUUAGCGGCGGACGGGUGAGUAACACGUGGAUAACCUACCUAUAAGACUGGGAUAACUUCGGGAAACCGGAGCUAAUACCGGAUAAUAUAUUGAACCGCAUGGUUCAAUAGUGAAAGACGGUUUUGCUGUCACUUAUAGAUGGAUCCGCGCCGCAUUAGCUAGUUGGUAAGGUAACGGCUUACCAAGGCAACGAUGCGUAGCCGACCUGAGAGGGUGAUCGGCCGCACUGGAAGUGAGACACGGUCCAGACUCCUACGGGAGGCAGCAGUAGGGAAUCUUCCGCAAUGGGCGAAAGCCUGACGGAGCAACGCCGCGUGAGUGAUGAAGGUCUUCGGAUCGUAAAACUCUGUUAUUAGGGAAGAACAAAUGUGUAAGUAACUAUGCACGUCUUGACGGUACCUAAUCAGAAAGCCACGGCUAACUACGUG
rnacentral:rRNA from 1 species